rnacentral:rRNA from 1 species
UACAGAGGUGGCAAGCGUUGUUCGGAAUUACUGGGCGUAAAGCGUGCGUAGACGGUUACAUAAGUCGGGUGUGAAAGCCCCGGGCUCAACCUGGGAAUUGCAUUCGAGACUGCGCAGCUAGGGUGCGGAAGAGGGAAGCGGAAUUUCCGGUGUAGCGGUGAAAUGCGUAGAUAUCGGAAGGAACACCAGUGGCGAAAGCGGCUUCCUGGUCCAGCACCGACGUUCAGGCACGAAAGCGUGGGGAGCAAACAGG